GUAGGUGGCAAGCGUUGUCCGGAAUUAUUGGGGCGUAAAGCGCGCGCAGGCGGUUCUUUAAGUCUGAUGUGAAAGCCCACGGGCUCAACCGUGGAGGGUCAUUGGAAACUGGAGAACUUGAGUACAGAAGAGGAAAGCGGAAUUCCACGUGUAGCGGUGAAAUGCGUAGAGAUGUGGAGGAACACCAGUGGCGAAGGCGGCUUUCUGGUCUGUAACUGACGCUGAGGCGCGAAAGCGUGGGGAGCAAACAGGAUUAGAUACCCUGGUAGUCCACGCCGUAAACGAUGAGUGCUAAGUGCUAGGGGGUUUCCGCCCCUUAGUGCUGCAGCUAACGCAUUAAGCACUCCGCCUGGGGAGUACGGCCGCAAGGCUG
rnacentral:rRNA from 1 species